GCCAACCUUUCUCUUAGUAGCUGAGCACAUUAACCCUCUGCACCACCCAGGGGCUCUGAGACCACUGCUGGUUCGGCUUUAUCCAGCAGACAGUAGGAAGCCACUGAAGGGCUUUGGGCAGAGAAGAAACCUCAUUGGUAAGAAGAUUGAUCCUGGCAGGAGUUCCUCAAAUGGAUGAGAGAGAAAUUGUCCUUUCUUCUCGCACAGGGCAGUUUGUUACAAUGGUGCACUGGCGCCACCUGCAGGCAGCCAGCCUCAACUACAGAACCCGAUUCCCUUCCGAAACCAAAUCUGCAAAACAAAGUCACAGAAAGAUUCCUUUUGAGCGCUACCGGAAAUGUGCGUGUUUAUUUGGACUGAGCCAAAAAGAACAAAGCUUCAGGGAGGUGGCUAUGCUAGAGACUCAAGGACUGACCUCACCUCCAUGCCCUUCCUCUAGGGGAAAUGAUUUAUAAUAAAGAGGUUCUUGAGUUACUUCAUGGAGCUGUGGUGGCACAGUGGUUAAAGCGCUCGGCUGCUAACUGAAAGGUCGGUGAUUCCAACCCACCAGCCGCUCUAGGGAGAAAGAUGUGGCAGUCUGCUUCCGUAAAUAUUACAGUCUUGGAAACCCAAGGUGGCAGUUCUACUCUGCCCUAUGGGGUAGUUAUGAAUUGUACUCGACUGGAGGGCAAUGGGUUUGGUUUUGGUUUUGUGUUAUGUUGGUAAUAAACACCCCAGGAUGGACUGGAGAGACCACUCCUCCCAGGGAAAUCCGUCCUACAGCAGCUCUGCAAAACAAAGGCUGUCAAGGCUCAGAGGAAGGACGAGGGUGAGUUCUAGCUCCAACGGGCACACCACCCACGCUGGGGAGAGCAAGUGAAGCCACCUCCUGGGGAAAGACAGCAGUGAAUCGUAGCCAAGGAUGAAUUUCCAUGGUCAGGAUUCUUUCCAUACAUCCCAGACAUGCUUGGAAGAGCAUAACCAAAGAAGAAUGAGAGGCCCCUGAAGAGACCAUGGAUCUUCUUUCAUUUCCUAUCUCUAAACCUCUCUCUCCCACCCUUAACUCUCCCUCUGCCGUUUCCUGUACAGGCCCCCAAAGCCACAGUGUCACUCACCUCUGCCAGUUCCCCCAGGAUGUUGCUAUGAUGCUGGAAGCUAUGAGAGCAGUAUUUCAAAUACCAUCAGAGUUGCCCAUGGUGAACAGGUUUCAGUGGAGCUUCUGGACUAAGACAAACUAGGAAGAAAGGUCUGGUGAUCUACUUCUGAAAAUUAGCCAAUGAAAACCUUGUGGCCCACCAUGGAGCACUGUUGACUCGCUUGCUUUGGACAUGUCAUCAGGAGGCAUCAAUCGCUGGAGGACGUUUGGUGAAGUGGAGUGCCAGCGAGAGUGAGAGAGAUCCUCUCUGAGGUGGAUUGGCACAAGAGCCACAGCAAUGGACUCAAACAUGUCAGCAAUUGUGAGGAUGACCCAGGACCAGGCAACAUUCAUUCUCCUGUACGUAAGGUUGCCAAGAGUCUGAGUCGACUUGAUGGCAGCUAUCUACUUGUCUAUCUAAUGCUAAUUAUUGGCCAAGAGGGCAGGUGAAAGGAAAUCCUGAGGAAGGUGUGUGCUGUUAUUAGUGAAAUGGUGUCUGCAGUGUCUUCAAGCAAGGGGCAAGAUGUGCGAGUGUGUGUGUGUGUGUGUGCGCGCACGCGUGUGUGUCGAGAGGGUAGUACUAGGCCUUAAUAUGGAGAGGGAGCCAAUUUUGCGGGCUCAGAGGGUUCAGAGGAAUCUGGGAGUUCAAGAUUUUCAAGUACAUCAACCCAGAUGGCCUCACCUCUUAUGUCCGGAUUCCAUCCCUUACUAAUGGAGCCCUUACCUGGGCAUAGCAGACCUACCUAGGUCAAGAUUUCAACCUUCUCUAGAGUUCCGCUGCCCUUAUGAUUAAAUCCUGCGCCUGAUCCGCAGCUUUUUCUGCCCUCUGGCUACAGGAGUUGGGAAGCCCUCUAUUCACUGCCAAGUAGGCCUCUGGCUUUCAUACCUAGCUUGUAAUUUCUGUAAUCACUGUCAGCCUUUCAUUUUUCAAAGCAUCAAUAGCCACUUGCCACAGUCAUCCAAUUCCAUUACCCUUAUAAUUCUUAUUGCCCCCGUAUUUCUCAAAUCCUUGAUACAUUUCACCUACUUGUACCUUUCCUUCCACUGGUAAUCCAUCCAAGUUCACUAACAGUAAAAAUUUUUUCCUUUUCUUACUUUGUUUUAUUGAGGUGAAAUUCACAUAACAUAAAAUCAACCAUUUAAAGCAAACAAUGCGGUGGCAUUUAGUACUUUCACAAUGGCGUGCAACCACCGCCUCUGUCUAGUUCUAAAAUGUUUUCACCACCCUAAAAGGAAACCCCGUACCCAUUAUACAUGCAGUCAUUCCUCAUCCCCUCAUCCCCUUACCCUCCAGCCCCUGGAAACAACUAACCUGAUUUCUGUCUCUGUGGAUUUACCUAUUCUGGACAUUUCAUAUAAAUGGAAUCAUAUGUCUGGCUUCUCUCAGUAUAAUGUUUUUGAGGUUCACCCAUGUUGUAUCGUGUAUCAGAACUUCAUUCCGUUUUAGGGCUCUGGUAAAGGGUUUAACAGUUGCACUGCUGCCGUCUCCCAAGGCUAAGCUGAGCCCCACUUGCUAACAGUGAUGAGGUACCCAUUCUUAGCCGGGCAGCGGGUGGUCCAGCCCCAGAAUCCCAUCUUGGCAUCUAUGUUAUUGGACUGUUCCUGGUGUCAAUAGUUACAGGUUGAUUCCCUGAGAGACAGACUCCGCGAUGGAGAUAAGCAGGCAGAAGAGUAUUAGAGGGUGCUCUCAGGAUUAAGACCUGGAGAAAAGGAAGGAAAUGAUCAGAGGGAGAAGUUAGGCUGUGCUGCAGUCUCAACAAAGGCCUCAGGUGACCCCAUGAGGAGCUCUGAUACUGGCAUGGCCCUUCAGAGUUGUCAUGAUUUGGGGCAAGCGGUCUGAGCUUUUAUACUCCUGCAUGGAAGUCACUGGAUAAAGGCUGCCUCCGGGAAGAGGACAUGACUUUGGCAAGGCCGGUCUCUGUAACAAGGGCAACUUCGGGAGAGGGCUGACAGCUGCAGGCUCUCAGCCAGCAGCACUUCCAGAGUCCUUCAGAUGUGCAGAGGCAUCGGGAUGGAGCACCAUACCAACCCAGACCUUGCAAUCUGGACGUGAUUUAUCUUAACGUGCUCAUUUCGCCAACAAGGUGCAUGCUGUCUGCUUGGACAUAUGGUGUCUCUUUUAUGAUUAACUUGUAUUUACAUGCAUACUCCAUGGCAAAAUUAUUGAACUUCGUUGUUGUUGUUAGAUGCCAUUGAAUCAGCCCCUGACUCAUGGUGACUGCAUGCGCAACACAAGGAAAUACUGCCUGGUCUUGUGCUGUCCCCGUGAUUAGUUCCAAAUUGAGCCCUUGUGAUUCAUAGGGUUUUCACUGGCUGAUUUUUGCAAGUAGAUCACCAGGCCUUUCUUCCUAGUUUGUCUUAGUCUGGGAGCUCGACUGAAACCUGUUUAGCAUCAUAGCAACACGCAAGCCUCCACUGACAGACCAGUGGUGGCUGCAACAUGAGAUGCAUUGGCCUGGAAUCGAACCCACAUUUCCUACAUGGAAGGCAAGAAUUCUACCAGUGAUCCACCAAUGCCUCAUUAUUUAACUUUAGGAUUUUAAAUACCAGGGUUUGAGGUGGGUCCAAAAGGCAGAGAAGAGGAAUGGGACAUUAUUUUCCUACAGGUUAUUUUUCUAGAAACAGAUGUACUAAAUUAAAUGGACUAUGUCUCAUAUUUAUUUAAGAACUGGAUCUGGAAGUUCAGGAUACAGAAAACUGAUCAUUUUGUUUAGAAGUACUUAAGAGGGGUUGUUGGACAACACUCUCCACCAGAAUUCUGGUGCCAACUGGGAGAAGAACAGCGUGACAUUAAGACAGGGAGCAAAGGCCCUGAGAUUGGAGGGUGCCUGUUUGAGAAAUAGCACAGAGACUGCUGUGGUUAGAGGAGAAACAAGUAAAAGAGAAAUAGUUUAUACUAUCAGGGAGGUAGUAGGGGGUCGAGUGUGGAACCUAGAGACUUAGACAAGUAACCGAGGCGCCCCCAAAUCUGCAAACAAAGUAACAAGGAAUGGGCCAGGGCGCAGAAAUAAAGCCAUUCCCCAGAACAAUGGGGCAAGGUAUCUAAAAAUAACCCACAAACUUCUUUAAAGUUGCCUCUCAGAAGGAGUUGAAGAAGACCAGGCCCAGGGACAUGCACAGAACAUCCACAUAUGACCACCAUGUGACCUUCCACCAGGAGCAGUGAGGGGCUACAGCCCCAGAUGGGGAAUUGAACCUGGGGAGCAGGAGACAGUGCAGGUGCAACACGCCGUAAUAAGUCCUGCUACGAAUCCCAGAGGCCUCCGGGACAGGAGCCAUCUUGGAAAGCUGCUGCGCCUGCACCUUAGUUAAUGUAUCCCCACCUGUGUUUAUGAAUAAACAUGAAUCUUUUCCCCCCUAAGAACUUUUAAAAAGACAGACCCGGGUCUGUCCUUUGUUCUGUGAGAUUAGGGUAAGCAUUGCCCUAGGCCCUCCUCAUCUCCACUUGCAAGCUUCUUCAGUAAAGCUUUGCUCCUGUGGAAAACUAUGUGCCUUACCUGCUCAUUCUUGACCAGUGAGGCAAGAACUUUAUUCUGGUAACUACAUUAUAUUAAGAUUAACAUUUUGCCUUUGUAGAUAUGCUAAUCACUUGAUAAGUUAGUCAUCUGAGGUUUUGAAAGUAGGUAAAAAGUGGAUGGAACCGUAUUUCCACCAUUAUGGUUCAUUUUAAAAAACAAUUUUGAGGAGAGGGUUAGUUCCUUCUCGACACAGAAGACCUGUUUUCAUAGAAGGCAUUUAUUAGAGAGCAUUGCUCAGCACGAGAGGAUCAUUGGCUAGGCCUUGAAGAUUUUUUUUUCUGCACAGGAAGUCUUUGUCUCAAAGGAAUUUGACCUAUGUUUUCAUGGCCACUGAUCAAGUGGCAAGUUUGCUUGGUUUCUCUCGAACUAGACUGUCUCAGGUAUGAAUUAAAAAGGAACUGUCUCAAAGUCAGCCUAAACACAGGAGCUGUGAGGCUAGCUGGGGGUUAUUUUGGCUCCCAGGACUGAAAUGAUUUGUAUAUAGUAACCAUGAGACCUUGGUUGGCUAACACGCCCAGCUGCUAACCAAAAGCACCCAGAGGUGCUUUGGAAGAAAGGCUUGGUGAUCAAGUUCCAAAAAAGCAACCACUGAAAACUAUAUGGAGCACAGUUCUAUAUUGACACUCAUGGGGUGCCAUGAGUUGAAAUAGACUCCAAGGCAUCUGGAUAGUAAUCAUGGUCAGCUCAUGGUCUGUAAGAAUCCAAGUGCAUGAAGUUAGGUUAAUGCUCUGAGGGUGCGUGGUGGUUCCUGUAGGUUGUUGUUGUUGUGUGCCAUCCAGUCAAUUCCAACUCACAGCAACCCUAUAUGACAGAGUAGAACUGCCUCAUAGGGUCUCCUAGGCUGUAAUCUUUAUGGAAGCUGAUUGCCAGGUUUUUUCUCCCUCAAAGCAGCUGAUGAGUUGGUAGAGGAACCUGAAAAAGAUGCCUGAGUUUGUGGGUUUUUUUUUUUUUUAGUCCUUUUGCUUUUAAGGCAAAAAAUAAAAUCAAUUUUUGAUUAAAUUUCAUUUUAAGUGUAGAAAUUGUAAUAAGAAAAUGUGCUUGAGUUUGUCGUGUUCUUUUUUCCCCCUAAUGUUUUUAAUAGUAAUGUGACUUUGGUUCUUUGGAAAUAGAGAAGAGAGGUUCAGGUCUUGAGUUGACACGGGCCGCAUUUGCACUUUGUUAUGCCUCUGAGGCACAGAGACAGUUGUAUUUUACGGUGGUGAGAUUUAGCAAAUAAAAAUACAGACACCCAGUUAAAUUUGAAUGUCAGAUAAAUGAUGCAUAAAUUCCUAGUGUAAGUAUACCCCAGAUAUUGCACGGCAUCCUGCUUUUUAUCUGGCAACCCUACUGUAUUGUCAAGUGAAACUGCUUAGUGAUACUAAGGUACUUGCAAGCAGAGGGAAACCAGCAGUGGGGCUGCCUGAGAAAAUAAGAAAAGGGGUAAUGAAUCCAGCCACCACCCAUCUGUCAGUUUGCCAUACUGUGGUGGCUCACAUAUUGCUGUGAUUCUGGAGGAUAUGCAACCAGUAUUUAAAAUAGCAGCAGGAUCAACUAUGGUGGGCAGGUCUCCAUGGAGCUUCCAGGAUAGACUAGGAAGAAAGGCCUGGUGAACUAUGUCUGAAAAUUAGCUAAUGAAAACCUUAUGGAUCACAACAGAAUAUUGCCUGACUGGCUUGCUUUAGACAUGUCACCAGGAAAGACCAGUUGUUGGAGGAGGACAUGGUGUUUGUAAAGUGGAGGGCCAGUGAGAAUGAGGGAGGCCCUCGAUGAAAUGAAUUGACACAGUGGCCACAGCAAUGGACUCACAAUGCCUACAAUCAUGGAGAGGAGAUGACCUGGGACCAGGAACCUGACUCAGUGAAAUGGGUAGACGAGGAGGAAAAUACAAAAUGAACAUCAAGAUAUGACAGCCCUGAAGAAAGCGACAAUAAAAUUCAACCUACAAAACUGCUGAAAGAGAUGGCAUCACCCGGGGCUUGAGCAGCUGCACACGAGUAUGGAAGACAAUGGCAAAGUCCAGGAAUGUAUUUCACAUAGCUAGCCAAAGCACUCUAAACCUAAAAACAGUUACCACAGAAGUUAACAGAGUAAAUAAAGCUUUGGUAGAUACAUACAACAACUCGCACACUUCUCAAAAUGUCAUUCCCUUGAACUUCUGCAGAAACAACUGAUUCCUUAGCAGAGUCUUGAAAACAAACCAGUUAAUGUCGAUGAGGCUACAAGGCUGAUGACUCAAUUCCCACCCCCC